rnacentral:rRNA from 1 species
GACAGAGGGUGCAAACGUUGCUCGGAAUCACUGGGCGUAAAGGGCGUGUAGGCGGGAAGUAAAGUCAGAUGUGAAAUCCCUGGGCUCAACCCAGGAACUGCAUUUGAAACUCACUUUCUUGAGUACCGGAGAGGAAGGUGGAAUACCUGGUGUAGAGGUGAAAUUCGUAGAUAUUGGGAAGAACACCGGUGGCGAAGGCGGCGACCUGGUCCAUUACUGACGCUGAGGCGCGACAGCGUGGGGAGCAAACAGG